rnacentral:tRNA from 1 species
GGUCCUGUAGAGCAGCGGUUAGCGCAAAGGACUCUGAAUCCUGCGACGGGAGUUCAAAUCUUGCCGGGACGU